GACGAACGCUGGCGGCGUGCUUAACACAUGCAAGUCGAACGGAAAGGCCCUGCUUGCAGGGUACUCGAGUGGCGAACGGGUGAGUAACACGUGGGUGAUCUGCCCUGCACUUCGGGAUAAGCCUGGGAAACUGGGUCUAAUACCGGAUAGGAGCCAUUUUUAGCGUGAUGGUUGGAAAGUUUUUUCGGUGUAUGGUGAGCUCGCGGCCUAUCAGCUUGUUGGUGGGGUAAUGGCCUACCAAGGCGGCGACGGGUAGCCGGCCUGUGAGGGUGGACGGCCACAUUGGGACUGAGAGACGGCCCAGACUCCUACGGGUGGCAGCAGUGGGGAAUAUUGCACGAUGGGCGCCAGCCUGAUGCAGCGACGCCGCGUGGGGUAUGACGGCCUUCGGGUUGUAAACUCCUUUCGCUAGGGACGAAGCUUUUUGUGACGGUACCUAGAUAAGAAGCACCGGCUAACUACGUG
rnacentral:rRNA from 1 species